AUUGAACGCUGGCGGCAGGCCUAACACAUGCAAGUCGAGCGGAUGAGAGGAGCUUGCUUCUCGAUUCAGCGGCGGACGGGUGAGUAAUGCCUAGGAACCUGCCUGGUAGUGGGGGACAACGUUUCGAAAGGAACGCUAAUACCGCAUACGUCCUACGAGAGAAAGCAGGGGACCUUCGGGCCUUGCGCUAUCAGAUGAGCCUAGGUCGGAUUAGCUAGUUGGUGAGGUAAUGGCUCACCAAGGCGACGAUCCGUAACUGGUCUGAGAGGAUGAUCAGUCACACUGGAACUGAGACACGGUCCAGACUCCUACGGGAGGCAGCAGUGGGGAAUAUUGGACAAUGGGCGAAAGCCUGAUCCAGCCAUGCCGCGUGUGUGAAGAAGGUCUUCGGAUUGUAAAGCACUUUAAGUUGGGAGGAAGGGUUGUAGAUUAAUACUCUGCAAUUUUGACGUUACCGACAGAAUAAGCACCGGCUAACUCUGUGCCAGCCGCCGCCGUAAUAC
rnacentral:rRNA from 1 species